rnacentral:lncRNA from 1 species
GCACCAUGGAUAUAAAUGACAGGGCACCUGAGAGCCGCGGAACGCUAUGUGUCUGUUGUUAUGAUGGACAGAAAUGAUGAAAACCACAGUCAGUGUGGCAGACGUCACUAGCUGUUACCCAAUUUGCAUCCUUCACUCACACUGACGGAACCCUGUGUCACCCCACCGUGGAGGCUACGUGAUGCUGGAAUGGAUCACCUCCUCAGCCAUCUAUUUAUGUUCAAAUAUCUAAAUAAAUAUGUUUCCAGCCUACAAAA